UUAAAAAAAGCCUUUCACUUU
rnacentral:piRNA from 1 species